UACAGAGGGUGCGAGCGUUGUUCGGAAUUACUGGGCGUAAAGCGCGCGCAGGCGGCUCUUUAAGUCUGACGGGGAAAUGCCGGGGCUCAACCCCGUGCCCGCCGCGGAUACUGGAGGGCUGGAGACACGUAGAGGCAAGCGGAAUUCCGGGUGUAGCGGUGGAAUGCGUAGAGAUCCGGAAGAACACCGGAGGCGAAGGCGGCUUGCUGGGCGUAGUCUGACGCUGAGGCGCGAAAGCGUGGGGAGCGAACAGG
rnacentral:rRNA from 1 species